UUCUUGUUACUUCUUGUGGGUCUCUACAAUUUUGGUAGUCUAGAGAUGAUUUGAUUAUCAGACAGCAUUGUGUUUUGUGCUCUCCUCUAAACGAAACAGAGGAGAAACGGUCGUAGUUUACUAAUAAUUCACAAUACUUGGUUGAUUGAUUAGAUUCCAAUAAUGACCCUUCAUCUGCAUUUACAAUAAUUAAUAAAUUGGUAUGAUAAUGGGUUUUAUGCACCUUUUACCAAUAAGAUCAGGGGCAUAAAUGGGCAUCAGUGUCAAUGUAUAUCAAAUCAUAUCUCUGUCAAGUUGCUUGCAGGUUAUGAUUUGGAGAGUUUAUCUCUUGGAUUAUACAUGAAUGCACGAUUCACAGAGAAAGUGUCAUAGUCAGGGGGGAAAAAGACACGACUCAAUGGGAAAAUUUAUAUGAAAUUGUUUAUUUCUUUAUGGUGAAAUUUUAUAGAUACGAUUGUUUAAAAUUAUCAAAUUAUGACUGUUUUGAAUCCUUGAAUUUGGAAUACAAAUGUUAAAAAAUUAUGACCUAUGCAAACCUAGGAAAAUUGACAGUUUUUUAGACCCUUCAACAGCACAAAUGUGGGAAAAUUGUGACCUAUACCAAUAUGGUAAAAUCGUAUUCAUUCUGGGUUCUUGAACUUUGAAUGGAAAAUUGUCUUGUGAUUUUCUACGAUCUUAUUUUUUGUUUUCUAGAGAAAUGACUCUUGCAUCAUGCGAUACGUCUUUGAGUGAAAAGUGGAAUUAAUUACCAGGCUUAAAUUUGACUUGUUAAGCUGCCUUAUUAUUAUUAUUUUUUACCUUCAUGUCCUGAUAUUUUUUGAAGUAUCAUAUGUGCCAAAUAUGAGAAAGGACAGGAUUCUUUUUUUUUUUGGGGAAAAUGUCCUUACCAUUUUAUUUGAACUUGCAUCUGUAAUGCACUUCUACAAGGCUCAGUGAUGUUUGUAUAUUUGAUGCCUAAUUAAAAGGUGCAUAAAUACAAAUAUAGUGGCUUACUUUCGCGCUUUAGCUUAGACUUUUUGUGUCUUUGCUGCCUAUAGCCCUUGUACAUAUGUAUACAUAUAUCCUACUUUGACAAUUUUCUCAAGUAUGCCCAUUCAUAAAGCUUGAUGCCCAUUGCAUCAUGUGUUGCUUAUUUUGAUGACUUCUAUUUACGUAUGGGAAUGCUUUGACUAUUUUGGAUCUUUUAACUUGAAUUACAAAUGUGAGAAUAUUACCGUUUUGCAUUGUUUAAUUUCGAUUACAAAUGUUUUGACCAUUUUAAAUUUUUUAACUUGGAUCACAAUUGUGGGAAUAUACAAACCGUUUUGGAAUAUUUAAAUUCGAUAUCAAAUUCGGGAAUAUUUUGAACAUUUUGGAUCCUUUAACUUGGAUCACAAAUGUGAUAUACAAAUGUGGGAAAAUUUUGACCGUGUUGGAUCCUUUAACUUGGAUAACAAUUGUGGGGAUAUUUGGACCAUUUUGGAUCAUAUAAAUUCAAUUUAAAAAAUGGGAAUGUUUUUACCCUUUUGGAUCCUUUAACUUGGAUCACAAGUAUGAUGCACAAACGUGGAAAUUUUUUGAUUGUUUUGGAUCCUUUAACUUGGAUCACAAUUGUGGGAGUAUCUGAACCAUUUUGGAUUAUAUAAAUUUGAUUACAAAUUUGGGAAUGUUUUGACCCUUUCGGAUCCUCUAACUUGGAUCACAAGUGUGAUACACAUAUGUGGGAAUUUUCUAACCAUUUUGGAUCCUUUAACUUGGAUUACAAUUGUGGGAAUAACCGGACUGUUUUGGAUAUACUAAAUUUGAUUUCAAAUGUGGGAAUAUUUUGACCCUUUUGGAUCCUUUAAUUUAGAUCACAAGUGUAAUACACAAAUGUGAGAAUUUUCUAACUGUUUUGGAUCCUUUUACUUUGAUCACAAAUGUGGGAAUCUUUGGACCCUUUUGGAUCUAUUAAAUUUGAUUACAAAUGUGGGAAUGUUUUGAUCGUUUUAGCUCUUAUAUCUUGAAUCACAUAUGUAAUAUGCAAAUGUGGGAAUGUUUUGACCAUUUUGGAUUAGUUAACUUAGAUCACAAAUGUUGGAAUGUUCUAACCAUUUUGGAUUAGUUAACUUAGACCACAAAUGUGGGAAUCUUUGUAACAUUUUGGAUCCUUUAAUUGAGAUCACAAAUGUGGGAAUAUUCGAACUGUUUUGGAUUUUUUAAAUUCGAUUACAAAUGUGGAAUGUUCUAAUUGUUUUGAAAUUUUUAGCUCGACUCAUAAUUGUGAUAUGCAAAUUGUGAAAUGUUUUGAUCAAUUUGGAUCCUUUAACUAGGAUCACAAAUGUGACAAUAUUUGCACUAUUUUUUAUCCUUUAAAUUCGAUUGCAAAUGUGGGAAUCUUUUGACCAUUUUGAAUCCUUUAACUUGGAUCACAAUUAUGGAAAUAUUCGGACUGUUUUGGAUCAUUUAAAUUCAGGAAUGUUUUGAACAUUUUAGAUCCUUUAACUUGGAUAACAAAUGUGAUAUACAAAUGUGGCAAUGUUUUGACUGUGUUGGAUCCUUUAACUUGGAUCAUAAUUGUGGGAAUAUUCAGAACAUUUUGGAUCAUAUAAAUUUGAUUGCAAAUGUGAGAAUGUUUUGACCCUUUAACUUGGAUCACAAGUGUGAUACACAAAUGUGGGAAUUUUUUGACUGUUUUGGAUCCUUUAACUUGGAUCACUAUUGUGGGAAUAUCUAGACCCUUUUGGAUCAUAUAAAUUCGAUUACAAAUGUGGGAAUGUUUUGACCCUUUUGGAUCCUCUAACUUGCAUCACAAGUGUGAUACACAAAUGUGAAAAUUUUCUGACUAUUUUGGAUCCUUUAACUUAGAUCACAAUUGUGGGAAUAUCCAGACUGUUUUGGAUCUAUUAAAUUCGAUUAAAUGUUUUGACCCUUUUGGAUCCUCUAACUUGGAUCAUGAGUGUGAUACACAAAUGUGGGAAUUUUCUGACUGUUUUGGAUCCUUUUACUUUGAUCACAAAUGUGGGAAUCUUUAGACCAUUUUGGAUCUAUUAAAUUCGAUUACAAAUGUGAAAAUGUUCUGACUAUUUUGGCUCCUACAUCUUUAAUCACAUGUAUAAUAUGCAAAUGUGGGAAUGUUUUGAUAGUUUUGGAUUAUUUAACUUAGAUCACAAAUGUUGGAAUGUUUUGAUCAUUUUAGAUCAUUUAACUUAGAGCACAAAUGCGGGAAUCUUUGAAACUUUUUGGAUCCAUUAAAUUUGAUUACAAAUGCGGGAUUGUUUUGACUGUUUUGAAUCCGUUAAUUGAGAUCACAAAUGUGGGAGUAUUUGAAUCGUUUUGGAUUUUUUAAAUUCGAUUACAAAUGUGAAAAUAUUCUAAUUGUUUUGAAAUUUUUAACUCGACUCACAAAUGUGAUAUGCAAAUUGUGAAAUGUUUUGAUUGAUUUGGAUCCUUUAAUUAGGAUCACAAAUGUGAGAAUAUUUGGAUUGUUUUUGAUCCUUUACAUUCGACUGCAAAUGUGGAAAUCUUUUGACCAUUUUGAAUCCUUUAAUUUGGAUCACAAUUGUGGGAAUAUUCGGAUUGUUUUGGAUCAUUUAAAUUUGAUAUUAGAUUCGAGAAUGUUUUGAACAUUUUGAAUUUUUUAACUUGGAUCACAAAUGUGAUAAAUAAAUGUGGGAAUGCUUUGACCGUGUUGGAUCCUUUAACCUUGAUCUCAAAUGCGGGAAUGUUGGACCAUUUUGGAUCAUAUAAAUUCAAUUACAAACAAGGGAAUGUUUUGACCCUUUUGGAUCCUUUAACUUGGAUCACAAUUGUGAGACUAUUUGAACCCUUUCAGAUCCUUUAACUUGGAUCACAAGUGUGAUACACAAAGGUAGGAAUUUUCUGACUAUUUUGGAUCUUUUAACUUUGAUCACCAAUGUGGGAAUCUUUGGACCGUUUUUGAUAGAUUAAAUUUGAUUACAAAUGCGGGAAUGUUCUGACCAUUUUGGCUCCUAUAUCUUUAAUCACAUAUAUAAUAUGCAAAUGUUAAAAUGUUUUGGCCGUUUUGGAUAAUUUAUUUUAGAUCACAAAUGUGGGAAUUUUUAGAUAGUUUUGGAUCCAUUAAAUUCGAUUAUAAAUAUGGGAUUGUUUUGACCAUUUUGGAUCCUUUAAUUGAGAUCACAAAUGUGGGAAUUUCUAAUUGUUUUGAAAUUUUUAACUCUACUCACAAAUAUGAUAUAAAAAAUGUGAAAUAUUUUGAUCAAUUUGGAUCCUUUAACUAGGAUCACAAAUGUGAGAAUAUUUGGAUUGUCUUUUAUCCUUUAAUUUGAUUACAGAUGUGGAAAUCUUCUGACCAUUUUGAAUCCUUUAACUUGGAUCAAAAUUGUGGGAAUAUUUGCACCAUUUUGGAUCAUUUAAAUUUGACAUCAAAUUUGGAAAUUUUUUGAACAUUUUGGAUCCUUUAACUUAGAUAAAAAAUGUGGGAAUGUUUUGACCAUAUUGGAUCCUUUAACUUUGAUAUCAAAAGUGGGAAUGUUCAAAUCAUUUUGGAUAAUUUAAAUUCAAUUAUAAAUGUGAGAAUGUUUUGACCCUUUUGGAUCCUUUAACUUGGAUUACAAGUGUUAUACACAAAUGUGGGAAUUUUUCUAACUGUUUUGGAUCCUUUUACUUUGAUCACAAAUGUGGGAAUCUUUAGACUAUUUUGGAUCUAUUAAAUUUGAUUACAAAUGUGGAAAUGUUCUGAUCGUUUUAGCUCCUAUAUCUUGAACACAUAUGUAAUAUGCAAAUGUGGGAAUGCUUUGAUCGUUUUUUAUUAUUUAACUUAGAUCACAAAUGUUGGAAUGUUCUGACCGUUUUGGAUUUAUUAAAUUCGAUUACAAAUGUGACCGUUUUAGCUCCUAUAUCUUGAAUCACAUAUGUAAUAUGCAAAUGUGGGACCGUUUUUGAUUAUUUAACUUAGAUUACAAAUGUUGGAAUGUUCUGACUGUUUUGAAUCAUUUAACUUAGAGCAUAAAUGUGGGAAUCUUUGGAACUUUUUGAAUCCAUUAAAUUCAAUUAUAGAUGUGGGAUUGUUUUGAUUGCUUUGGAUUCUUUAACUAAGAUCAUAAAUGUGGGAAUGUUUGUAAUUGAAUUCAGUUAAAAUUAUGGGAAUGUUUAGAUUGUUUAAAUUCAGAUCAUUUUGGAUGUUUUAAAUUUGGUUACAAAUGUGGGAAUGUUCUAAUUAUGUUUAAAAUUUUAACUCGACUCACAAAUGUGAGAAUAUUUGGACUAUUUUUGAUCCUUUAAAUUUGAUUGCAAAUGUGGAAAUCUUGUGAUCAUUUUAAAUCCUUUAACUUGGAUCACAAUUGUGAGAAUAUUUGGAUUGUUUUGGAUCAUUUAAAUUUGAUAUCAAAUUUGGAAAUGUUUUGAACAUUUUUGAUCCUUUAACAUUGAUCACAAAUGUGAUAUACAAAUGUUGUAGUGUUUUGACCGCAUUGGAUCCUUUAACUUUGAUCUCAAAUGUGGGAAUGUUUGAACUAUUUUGGAUAAUUUAAAUUUAAUUACAAAUGUGGGAAUGUUUUGAUCCUUUUGGAUCUUUUAACUUAGAUCACAAGUGUCAUAGACAAAUGUGGGAAUUUUGUUAUCGUUUUUUAUCCUUUAACUUGGAUCACAAUUGUGGGAAUAUUUAGACUAUUUUGGAUCAUAUAAAUUUGAUUAUAAAUGUGAAAAUGUUUUGACCCUUUUGGAUCCUCUAACUUAGAUCACGAGUGUGAUACACAAAUGUGGAAAUUUUUUGACCGUUUUGGAUCCUUUAACUUUGAUCACAAAUGUGGGAAUCUUUGGACUAUUUUGGAUCUAUUAAAUUUGAUUACAAAUGUGGGAAUUUUCUGACCGUUUUGGCUCCUAUAUCUUGAAUCACAUAUGUAGUAUGCAAAUGUGAGAAUGUUCUGGCUGUUUUGGAUUAUCUAACUUAGAUUACAAAUGUGAGAAUGUUUUGACCGUUUUGGAUUAGUUAACUUAGAGCACAAAUGUGGGAAUCUUUGAAACGUUUUGGAUCCAUUAAAUUCAAUUACAAAUGUGGCAUUGUUUUGGAUCCUUUAAUUGAGAUCACAAAUAUGGAAAUAUUCAAACUGUUUUAGAUUUUUUAAAUUUGAUUACAAAUGUGGGAAUAUUCUAGUCAUUUUGAAAUUUUUAACUCGACUCACAAAUGUGAUAUGCAAAUUGUGAAAUGUUUUGAUCAAUUUAGAUCCUUUAACUGGGAUCGCAAAUGUGACAAUAUUUGCACUGUUUUUGAUCCUUUAAAUUUGAUUGCAAAUAUGAAAAUCUUUUGACCAUUUCGAAUCCUUUAACUUGGAUCACAAUUGUGGGAGUAUUCGGACCAUUUAAUUUGAUAUCAAAUUCGGGAAUGUUUUGAACAUUUUGAAUCCUUUAACUUGGAUCACCAAUGUGAUAUACAAAUGUGGCAAUGUUUUGAUUGUGUUAGAUCAUAUAAACUUGAUUACAAAUGUGAGAAUGUUUUGACCCUUUUGGAUCCUUUAACUUGGAUUAUAGGUGUGAUACACAAAUGUGGGAAUUUUCUAAUCAUUUUGGAUCUUUUAACUUGGAUCACAAUUGUGGGAAUAUCAGGAUCAUUUUGGAUCAUAUAAAUUUGAUUACAACUGUGAGAAUGUUUUGAUCUUUUUGGAUCUUCUAAUUUGGAUCACAAGUGUGAUACACAAAUGUGAAAAUUUUCUGACCGUUUUGGAUCUUUUAAUUUUGAUCACAAAUGUGGGAAUCUUUAGACCCUUUUGGAUCUAUUAAAUUCAAUUUCAAAUGUGGGAAUGUUCUGAUCGUGUUGGCUCUUAUAUCUUGAAUUGCAUAUGUAAUAUGCAAAUGUGGAAAUGUUUUGACCGUUUUGGAAUAUCUAACUUAGAUCACAAGUGUGUGAAUGUUCUGACCGUUUUGGAUUAGUUAACUUAGAGCACAAAUGUGGGAAUCUUUGAAACGUUUUGGAUCCAUUAAAUUUGAUUACAAAUGUGGCAUUGUUUUGGAUCCUUUAAUUGAGAUGACAAAUGUGGGAAUAUUCGAACUAUUUUGGAUUUUUUAAAUUUGAUUACAAAUGUGGGAAUGUUUUAAUCAUUUUGAAAUUUUUAACUUGGCUCACAAAUAUGAUAUACAAAUUAUGAAAUGUUUUGAUCAAUUUGGAUCCUUUAACUGGGAUCACAAAUGUGACAAUAUUUGCACUUUUUUUGAUCCUUUAAAUUCAAUUGCGAAUAUGGAAAUCUUUUGACCAUUUCGAAUCCUUUACCUUGGAUCACAAUUGUGGGAAUAUUCGGAUCAUUUUGGAUCAUUUAAAUUCGAUAUCAAAUUCAAGAAUGUUUUGAACAUUUUGGAACCUUUAACUUGGAUUACAAACGGGAUAUACAAAUGUGGGAAUGUUUUGAUCGUGUUGGAUCCUUUAAAUUUGAUCUUAAAUGUGGGAAUAUUCGGACCGUUUUGGAUAAUUUAAAUUCAAUUACAAAUAAGGGAAUGUUUUGACCCUUUUGGAUCUUUUAACUUGGAUCACAAUUGCGAGACUAUUCGAACAAUUUUGAAUAAUUUAAAUUUGAUUACAAAUGUGGGAAUGUUCUGAUCAUUUUGGCUCCUAUAAUUGGAAUCACAUAUGUGAUAUGCAAUGUGAAAAUAUUCUGAUCAUUUUGGAUCAUUUAACUUAGAUCACAAAUGUGAGAUUGCUUUGAUCAUUUUGGAUAAUUUAACUUAUGUAACAAAUGUGGGAAUCUUUGGACUGUUUUGGAUUCAUUAAAUUCGAUUACAAAUGUGGAAUUGUUUUGAUCAUCUUGGAUUCUUUAAUUUGGAUCACAAAUGUGUAAAUAUUCAGACCAUUUUGGAUCUUUUAAAGUCAAUAACAAAGGUGAGAAUGUUUUAACUGUUUUAGGUCCUAUAACUUAUAUUGCAAAUGUGGUAUACAAAUGUGGGAAUGUUCUGAUUGUUUUAAAUCCUUUAACUUAGAUCACAAAUGUGAAAUUUUUUUGACUAUUUUGGAUCUUUUAAAUUCGAUUGCAAAUGUGAGAAUGUUUUGACUAUUUGGGAUCCUUCAACCUAGAUUUUGAUUGCUCCUAUAUUGAGAAUGUUCUGACCAUUUUGAAUUAGUUAACUUAGGACAAAAUGAAUUUAAGUUGGCUACUUGUCAUAUCUGUGUUGCUUGUAGCACUUGUACAUACACAUAUUUGGCAAAUUUCUCUUGUAUGCGCACUUACAAAGCUUGAUACCUACUGUAUGAUGUGUUGUUUAUUUUGAUAGCUCUUAUACAAAUGUGAGCAUGUUCUGACCGUUUUGGAUCCUUUAACUUGGAUCACAAAUGUGACAAUAUUCAGAUUGUUUUGGAUCCUUUAAAUUUAGUUACAAAUGUUGGAAUGUUUUGACUAUUUUAGAUCAUUUAACUUAUAUGUUGAAGGCUCUUAGAAUAGAAAUGUUUUUAUUGUUUUUGAUCCUUUAAUAUGGAUUACAAAUGUGAGAAUUUUUUGAUCGUUUAGGAUCCUCAAACUUGGAAAACAAAUGGGCAAAAUUUUGACCAUUUUGGAUUCAUGAUCUUUGAAUACGAAAUGGGAAGUUAUGACCGUUGCUAAUGUGGAAAAUUGUAAUGGUUUUGGGUUCUUAAACUUAGAAUAGAAAGCUACUUUGUGAUUUGGUACAAUUGUAUAUUUGGCUUUCUAGAUAAAUGACCCUGCAUCAUUAUACUUAUUUUGAAUGUUCUUGUGGAAAAUGCCCUAUUGCUGCUUGUGUUGCUUGACGGCUCAUAUGCAAAUGUGUGAAUGUUUUGACUGAUUUGGAUACUUUAACUUGGAUUAAAAGUGUGGGAAAAUUGUGACCUAUAUAAAUGUGGAAACUUAUGACCCUUUUGGAUUUUUAAACCUGGAAUUUAUGUGGGAAAAUUGUGACUUGUUCAAAUAUGGCUAAAUUGACUAUUUUGGAUCUUAAAACUUGAAAUGCAUAUAUGGGAAAGUUUUGAUCUAUACAAAUGUGAAAAAUUAUCACUAUUUUAGAUUCUUGAACUUAGAAUUGAAAAUUGCCUUGUAAUUUGUUACCAUCAUAUAUUUGGCCUUCUUGACAAAUGACCCAUGCAUUAAUUGAUACUUGAUUUGAAGGUAACAAAAUUGCUUGUUUAUUUUGUUUAUUGAGAUCUCUUACCAGUAAUUAUCUUAUUGAUGUUUAAACAGCAUUUAGGGAAUGGCUUAUCCUAUUCUCGAAUGGUUCUUUGGUUCAUAGAUUAGACUAGAAGUGAGUUUUGUAUAAUUUUGGUAACAUGUUGCUACUUUUGAGUUUUUGAUUAUAUAUGAUUCUUCCUAUGUUCCUAUUAUGUUUAGCCACAAAUAUACAUCAGUCACUUAUUGAGGAAUCUUUAAUUAUAACAAUGGUAAGAUUUUGCUCACUUUUUUCUUUUGUUGUCUUUUUCCACCAAUAAACUUAGAUUUUGAUCUAAAUUGAAGGUGUAUGACAAUGGUAAGAUCGAUGCCUUUUUGGAGUGGCUUGCCAUUAGCCCUGGCACAAUCAUCACAAUGACUCCAUCGUGCACAGUCUUUACUGCGAUUGGGAUUUGGGCUUUUUGAAUUUGAGAAGUUGAAAGAAGGUAGAGGAUAAUGAUGAAGAACUGAGAAUGAUGAAGUGACUCAUAGCUUUCUAUGAGGAGCAUCUUAAUGUCGUUUAAGCAGGAAAUCAACAACUAGCCGCUAUGUGUAACAUUUGGGAAAAUUUAAUCUUGAUUUAUUAACCUAAUGAGGGUGAUAAGUGAAUUAAUAAGGUGUGCGGCCAGAGGGGUUCAAUUGGUGCAAUUAUUGUGGCAAUUUUAGCCCUAGAAGUGGAUACGGAUCUAUGGUGGGCCACUCGGAUGAGGAAAGAGGAAGAAAAAGUGAAGAUUUAUUUUUGGUGCCACAAGUCACGAUGCGUGGUCAGUCUGCCGCGGUGCAGAGGCAGAUUUGAAUGCAAUGGCCUCCUUUGUGGCACGCGCUAUGGCAGACGGCAAUGUGCUCCGCAACGCACGGCCAAAAAUAUGAUAUAUCAGAUUCAUAUUAGCGCGAGAAAAACAGAAAGAGGAAGAGAAAAAUAAAGGAGCUCGACUUUGGCUCUACUAGGGCUUAUUAUUGGAGCAUAUUGGUGAUAGAUUGAAACUUUCAAAUACCCAAGAGCAUGAUCAUUGGUGGGAGUUUUCCUAAGGAGAGGAGUAGAUUGAUUUAGAUCCACGUGGUAUUGGCAGUGACCAUUGGAAUCGAAAAUUGGCCUUCGCACUAACCGUUGGAAUCGGGAGGUAGCCCUUGUCCCAUGGUUGAUUCAGGACUGUCCCACUUAUUUUACAAGGAACUCGAACCUAGCUAGUCUCCACCGGUUCAUGAAGAGGCUAGAUUAGAGGUACAACACCCCAUAGUUGUUAGCAUUGGGGGAAACUAGAUUACAUAAAUGAGUGAGUUAACCCUGGCCUGGUAGCUCCUCAUAAGUGGAAGGUUGGGUUAAUCCGUGAAGGACGUAGCUGCGUGAUAGCUACCGGUUUUGUGUUAGAGGUAACAAGAGGGUAUAAGGGUGGCAUAUGAUCAUGCAUAUAAGACUGGCUAUAUGGUUGUUAGUUUUAUGGUCUGACAUAUGUUAGGGGUGCAUGGUUGUUAUUAUUACAACCCCGUGUUGUGCCUUGUGAAAUAUUAUGAUAUUGUGUGUUGUGGGCCCGAUCACAUGGUUGCUAGUUUUGUGAACUAUGGCCAAAUGUUUAUAUGUGGUAUUUGUGUAUUUGCCUAAUUAAAUCUAUUUACAAUUGAUAUACAACUAUAUAGGUUAGGUAAAACUUGGUUACUAAAUGGUUGUACUCACCCCUCAAUUCUUAAUA